GAUAAAUAUUUUAAUAUCAAACCUAUUUUUAUUAUGUAAUUUCUUUUGAAAAAAAAACCAUUACCUGGCCUAAAAAAAUAUGUGUUGCUAUAGUGCUUAACACGAUUUUUAAGGUAGCCGGAAUUGACCUUAGAACGAUAGUAUUGACUUUUGAUGUCCAAAAAUAGGCAGAUCGAACAUAUUUUGACUUUAUUUGCUGACUUUUUACGUUUGGGAUUGAUUGAAACUAUGAAAUUGAUUAUUUCAAUGAGAAAGAAAUUUUCCUUUUUUUUGUUAAGAUAUUAAACAAUAACGUUUACCUGGCGUACCCGUACGUUAAAUGUAUUUCGGCAUUUCUCUUCGAAAAAUGACCUUUUAAUGGAAUAAAACGUCUUAUUCGUUAACUUUCUCUUUUUUCUCCUCAAU
rnacentral:lncRNA from 1 species